UCUGGCCCAUCUUGAUCAGUGCCUCAGUCUUGUUCUCUGCAUCGGUCGACCUCGCUCUCUCUUUUGAUGGCGAAGAGAGAUGAUAGCUGAAACCUUGAAUCUUCGAGGUUGAGGACGAUUUCAAGUCAAGCACGCCGUAAAUUUUGAUUAUGUUCGGUCGAAGUAGGUUUCUUUCUUUUCCGAUGGUGAUUGGAGCUGUUGUGAUCGGUGUGGUUUCUGGGAAGGCAAUAUUUGGCCCUCCACUUGAUGAGUAUUGGAAAAAGAAGCUUCAGGAAGAAGCAUCAGCAAAGGAGAAGGACUCAAGCUCAACUUAGCUCUCCAUCACAUUAAGUCUUGUCAUAAUUUGGCAUUUCUAUUGGACUAAAGUUGACAGGUGAUAGACAACAUUUUUAUUUUGGUUCUACUCGAAAUAGCAAGUGCAUCGGCUGGGCAUGGUUGUUAUAAGAAACACCUUCAGUUUCCAGUUGCUAAUCAUCAAGAAUCUUUCCCCCGCCUCUACCUUUUUCCAUUCUUUCUCUUUGCUGAUUUGAGUAACCUUUGUAUUCCCCUAAUUGUUUGACUUUGCAAAGUUAAUCAAAAUAAAUAUACAGAUAUUUAAUGUAAAAUUCGUAUUUAUUAGCUACUCUAUGCAAGCUUCAUUGGUAUU